rnacentral:tRNA from 1 species
GCGGUCGUGGUGAAAUUGGUAGACACGUCAGGUUUAGGUCCUGAUGGCGCAAGCUGUGGGGGUUCAAGUCCCUCCGUCCGCACCA